rnacentral:rRNA from 1 species
GUGGGGAAUUUUGCGCAAUGGGCGAAAGCCUGACGCAGCAACGCCGCGUGAGUGAUGAAGGUCUUCGGAUCGUAAAGCUCUUUCGGCCGGGACGAAAACGGGUUGGCCAAUAUCCAACUCCUUGACGGUACCGGAAGAAGAAGCACCGGCUAACUCUGUGCCAGCAGCCGCGGUAAUACAGAGGGUGCGAGCGUUGUUCGGAAUUAUUGGGCGUAAAGCGCGUGUAGGCGGCGCUGCAUGUCGGGUGUGAAAGCCCUCGGCUUAACCGAGGAAGUGCGCCCGAAACUGCAGUGCUUGAGUGCCGGAGAGGGUGGCGGAAUUCCGGGUGUAGAGGUGAAAUUCGUAGAUAUCCGGAGGAACACCAGUGGCGAAGGCGGCCACCUGGACGGACACUGACGCUGAGACGCGAAAGCGUGGGGAGCAAACAGGAUUAGAUACCCCAGUAGUCC